UGUCAUUAGUUUUAAUCCGAAUAAAAUAUAUAAAUAUUUUGUACAAUGUAAAAAAAAGUAGUAUUAAAAAACAAAAUACCGCACAAAUCGUAUUUUUCUUUUGUGCAGAAGAACCAAGCGUUGCCGACUCGAUGUUUUGUGUGCCACGCGACAAAUUUGCAAAGCAAAACCAACCUGAGGCGAAAUCGUUUGAGUCAAGACGCAUUACCAACGAUCUCGAAAGCUGAUAAUCAGUAAGAAGUGUAAUAGAUAUUGAGCGGAGUUGGACAAAGCUUCAUUGUGUUGAAAACUUAGUAUUGGCCGAUCCCACCAUUAUAUUUGUACCUCACGGGCCUUCAUUUGUCAUUUAAGCACUUCCUUUGAAAUAACUGUAAGAGAAGUUUUAUGCGAAUCCAACUCUACUUUAGGACUCAAGAUGCAAUUUGUGGAUUUGUUCAAAUUUCUGACGACGAUAAAAAAACAUUUUUCUUGCGAUGUGGACUUUGGGGUGAAACAUGUUUUCUCUGGUGAUGGGUACAAUUCAAUUCCCUAACACAAAUAAACACUUCAAAAAGCCAGCAGACACGCAAACAGAAAAUACAAUAAUGAGCUUCUAAAAGAGAUGGAAGACUUAAGAAAUCUAGAAACCAAUUUAAUAAAAUUAUGAACUUAAAAAACAAAAAAUACCAGUCUAACGGUUAGACGCGAUAGAAGUGAAACCUUCCGCAAAAACAAACUGAGAGAGAAUGAGACGAAAGCAGCAUUAGGAGCGGGAUAAUUAUAGGUUCAUUAUUAUAUUGCAUGAUUCAAUA